rnacentral:sRNA from 1 species
CAUUAUUGAAUAAACUUGGUGGGUUGUCGCUGGCUUUUCGAAGCAUGUGCACGCCUGCUGACUUUAUCCAUCCACCUGUGCACCCUUUGUAGUCUUUGGAGAUAGAAAGCAGCAGAUUCUCAAUUGGGAUAGGAAACAGUGCCUUGCAGAAGCUUGGCUCUGUUCUGGGGCUGUGAUCACCUCCUCGACUAUGUCUUUUGCAUACACUAUGUAGCAUGUCACAGAAUGUAUCAAUAUCGGGCCUCUGUUGCCUACAAACACUUAUACAACUUUCAGCAACGGAUCUCUUGGCUCUCGCAUCGAUGAAGAACGCAGCGAAAUGCGAUAAGUAAUGUGAAUUGCAGAAUUCAGUGAAUCAUCGAAUCUUUGAACGCACCUUGCGCUCCUUGGUAUUCCGAGGAGCAUGCCUGUUUGAGUGUCAUUUACUUCCUCAACCACACUAGGUUUGUGGCUUGGAUAUGGGGGUUACAUUUGCGGGCUUCUUUUCUGAGGUCGGCUCCCCUAAAAUGUAUCAGCGGAACCGUUUGCGGUCAGUCACAGGUGUGAUAACCAUCUACGCCCAUGACAAAAGCUGCUCUCUGCCUGUUCAGCUCAUAACCGUCCUAAUGGACAACUUUCAAAUAUUUGACCU